ACUGUGCUAAGUGCUGGAGAUACAACAGUGAACAAGAAAGACAUAGACCCUUCUUGUGUAGAACUUUAAUUUCUAGCCAGAAAAACCAUUUUAGCGGCUAAAUGCACAUCCAGCCAUUGGAUUAUGGCCAUCAUGAAUGCUAAAAGGGAGAGUCCAGGGAGCUGUGAGAGGAUCUGUUCAGGGUACCUGAUUGGCCUGGUCCCAGGCGGAGUGGUUAGGGAAAGUCUCUUUGAUGAGUGACAUUUGAGCUAGGGGCUAGAUCAUGGCUGUGUUCUCAUUAAACUUUAUUUACAAGAAACAGGCAGCAGGCUAUGUUUGGCCCGCGGGCUGUCAUUUGCUAACCCCUGCUCUAAAGGAUGCAUGGGAAUGGGUGGUUCAAAGACAUGAAACCAGGGCUUGUCCCAGAACCAAAACUAGAUUCAACCACCCAUCUCUUCAUUUGUUCAACCAAACACAUGUGGGUUUCCAUAGUUCUGUGUUGCCUCUGUUCCCAUGCUGUGCUCUCUGCAGGCUGCCUGACCCCCAGAGGACCCAUGUGAUGUGGGCAACCAGCAAGGUGAGUUCCUGGCUGGCCUUGGGGGUGUCAGAAGGGUGGGAGGGCAGAGAGGUGGGUGGAACCAGCUUCCUCCAUGGAGGGCUGGCCACCGCCUAGGGUGCUUCUUCCUGCAGGACUUCGGGAUGUCUGGGCUCCGCUUUGGCACGCUGUACACAGAAAACCAGGAUGUGGCCACUGCCGUGGCUUCCCUCUGCCGCUACCACGGCCUCAGUGGCUUGGUCCAGUACCAGAUGGCGCAGCUGCUCCGGGACCGUGACUGGAUCAACCAGGUGUACCUGCCGGAAAACCAUGCCCGGCUCAAGGCUGCCCACACCUAUGUCUCAGAAGAGCUCAGGGUGUUGGGGAUCCCCUUCUUGA
rnacentral:sRNA from 1 species